rnacentral:misc_RNA from 1 species
CAGUGUUCCCUGCCCUUCGGGGUAGGAUCGCCACCCUUGAAUACCUAUGAGUGUUGCUUUGGCGGGCCUCGUGGCCUUAGCCACGCCCUGGCUUCGGCGGGGGAGUGCCCGCCAGAGGAUUCUACAAACCUGAUUAUUAGUGUCGUCUGAGUACUAUAUAAUAGUUA